GGUUCCGUGGUGCAGUUGGUUAGCGCAUCGUACUAAUAUCCUCUCUUCUGAGAAUACCAUGCGAAAGUCGAGGGUUCGAGCCCCUCCGGGACCA
rfam:Sporothrix schenckii ATCC 58251 unplaced genomic scaffold supercont1.8, whole genome shotgun sequence.